CAAUAGCGUAUAUUAAAGCUGUUGCGGUUAAAAAGCUCGUAGUUGGGUUUCUGUCAAGGACAACUGGUCCGCCCCUCGGGUGAGCACAUAGUUUGGUCUUGGCAUCUUGUUGGAAACUGUUGCUGCACUUGGUUGUGUGGCGCAGUGUCCAGCACUUUCACUUUGAGGAAAUUGGAGUGUUUCAAGCAGGCACAUGCCUUUGGACACAGUAGCAUGGAAUAAUUAGAUUGGGCUUUUGCUCCAACUUGUCGGUUUCUGGAGCUGAGGUGAGAAUUAAUGGGGAUUGUUGGGGGCAUCCGAAUUUAGCCGUCAGAGGUGAAAUUCUUGGAUCUGCUAAAGACGGACAACUGCGAAAGCGUUUGCCCAGGAUGUUUUCAUUGA
rnacentral:rRNA from 1 species